rfam:Parcubacteria bacterium OLB19 TZ19_OD100CONTIG000013, whole genome shotgun sequence.
UUACAGGAAUGUAAGGGUGUAUGGUGGAUGCCUAGGCUUCAAGAAGCGAUGAAGGACGUGAUAUGGCUGCGAUAAGUUUCGGUGAGGUGCCAAAUAACCUUUGACCCGGAAAUUUCCGAAUGGGGAAACCUACCUGUCAUCGGCAGGUGUUCUUGUAUGAGAACGCGUACCCAGGGAAGUGAAACAUCUCAGUACCUGGAGGAAAAGAAAGCAAUAGACGGAAAUUUCUUUCUGAACGGAUGCUUAGCAUCUCGUUUUGGAGCAAUCUUUAGCGGUGGUGCGCGACCUAUUUUUUAAGGAGCGAAAGCGACUAUAAAAAAGGAAGUGCCCUAGUGGUGCAAAGCGCCAUUACGUUUAGGAAGAAGUUUCUUGCGAUUCCCUUAGUAGCGGCGAGCGAAACGGGAAUAGCCCAAACCAUACGUAUUUAUACGUGUGGGGUUGUAGGGCAAAGAUGGCAUUUAGUUGCGAAGAGUUACAAAAUGUAUAUAUAGGAAAAUGUGCUGGAAAGCAUGACCCCAGAAGGUAAUAGUCCUGUAUUCGAAAUGUAUACAACUCUUUGAUCUUUGUUCCUGAGUAGUUCGAGACAUGAAUAGCUCGGAUGAAUCUGCCAGCACUAACUGGUAAGGCUAAAUAUUCUUGAAGACCGAUAGUGAACAAGUACCGUGAGGGAAAGGUGAAAAGAACCCCGGAGAGGGGAGUGAAAUAGAUCUGAAACCAUACACCUACAAGGAGUCGGAGCCUCAAUUUAUUGGGGUGACGGCGUGCCUAUUGAAGAAUGAGCCGGCGAGUGUACCUUUGUCCUUUGUCUAAGUGGUAUUCCCACGGAGGCACAGUGAAAGCGAGCGUGAAUAGCGCGAAAUUAUAGGGCAGGGGUACGACCCGAAGCGGGAUGAGCUUGCCAUGAGCAGGGUGAAGCGACUGUAAUAGGUCGUGGAGGCCCGAACCGGUUGGCCGUACAAAACCAUCGGAUGACUUGUGGUAAGGAGUGAAAAGCUUAUCGAAUUCCGUAAUAGCUGGUUCUCUCCGAAACAGCUUUUGGGUUGGCGUCGCGUGGUCCCCCUGGGGGUAGAGCACUGGAAGGAACAAACAGGGAGAAAUCUCGUUGUUCCUAUCAAACUCCGAAUACCAGUGGAUUAUAGCGCGGCAGUUAGACUAUGGGGGAGAAGCUCCAUUGGUCGAAAGGGAAACAGCCCAGAUCGCCAGUUAAGGUCCCUAAAUAUAUGCUCAGUGCAAAACGAGGAUGUGAGGAUUCAUAAACAGUGAGGAGGUUGGCUUAGAAGCAGCCAUCCUUUAAAGAAAGCGUAACAGCUCACUCAUCGAGAGUCCUUGCGCCGAAGAUAAUCGGGGCUCAAGCAUAUUACCGAAACUGCGGAUUCGUAGUAAUACGAGUGGUAGGAGAGCGUCCUUCUCUGCGAUGAAUUCAAGGCGAGAGCCAAGAUGGAGCGAGGAGGAGUGAGAAUGCCGGCACAAGUAACCGCAAGACGGGUGAGACCCCCGUCCGCCGAAAUACCGAGGUUUCCUUUGCGAUGUUGAUCAGCGAAGGGUUAGUCGGUCCUAAGGGAAUCCCGAAAGGGGGACUCGAUGGAUAGCAGGUUAAUAUUCCUGCACACCGCUAUGUUUCUAUGGAGGGACGGAGCGUUGUACUUACAGCAUCUUAUUGGAUUGAUGUUGGAGCACUGAGGGAGUCACGUAGGUAAAUCCGCGUGGCAAUAUUCCGAGGUGAGUCUAGAGGUGAGACUUCGGUCAAGCCGAUUGUAAGGAGCACGCUUCCGAGAAAAACUUCGUUUGGGUUAAACAUAGUGGUUCCGUACCGCAAACCGACACAGGUGGUAGAGUCGAGAAGACUAAGGCGAACGAGUGAGAGGUCCUCAAGGAACUCGGCAAAAAAGCGGCCGUAACUUAGGGAUAAGGCCUGCCUCUUGGGUGACCAAGGGGCCGCAGCGAAAGAUUUCCUGGCGACUGUUUAACAAAAACACAGCUCUCUGCGAACACGUAAGUGGAUGUAUAGAGGGUGACGCCUGACCUAUGCUGGAAGGUUAAAUACGGGGGGUGAUAUGAGAUUCGUCUUGUAUUGCUGGACUGUAUAAGCCCCAGUAAAUGUCAGCGAUAACUAUAAUCGUUCUAAGGUUUGGUGUGGGUAGAAAUACGUACACCAAAGGACUAGAACGAUUAUAGGUUAGACAGCCUAGCCAUAGUUACCUUCUACACAGUAAUGUGAUAGAUAGUCCAAAUCUAGCCAACAAGAGACCAAAUGCUAGACAUCCAAGUGCUUGUAAAAGUAACGGAUGAAGAUAGAGUCCUAUUGUGAAAUGCGUACUUAGAAAUAAGUACGAGAAGGGAAUAUAGAGCGUAUUUCCUUGUCGGGUAAGUUCCGACGUGCACGAAUGGCGUAACGACUGGGAAACUGUCUCGAGGACCUGCUCGGUGAAAAUACAAUACCGGUAAAGAUGCCGGUUACCUGCAGAUAGACGAAAAGACCCCAGGAGCUUUACUGUAGCUUCGUAUUGGGGCUAUUGAAUUGAUGCGUAGCAUAGGUGGAAGACUUUGAAGCGGGCUUUCGGGUACCGUGGAGUCGCCAGUGAAAUACCACCCUUCAUUUUGGUAGUCUCUAACCAAAUAGGCAAAACCUAUUUGAGACAGUGCGUGGCAGGCAGUUUUAGUGGGGCGCUACCCUCCCAAAAAGUAACGGAGGGGUCUCAAGGUUGGUUAGUCGCGAAUGGAAACCGUGACGAUAGUGUAAUGGCAUAAACCAGCUUGACUGUAAGGCGUAGAUGCCGAACAGACACGAAAGUGGAGCAUAGUGAACCGAUGGUACGCGUUAGAUGCGGCCGGAGAUUACCCGAUAAAAGUUACCCUGGGGAUAACAGGCUAGUCGUGCCCAAGCGUCCAUAGCGACGGCACGGUUCGGCACCUCGAUGUCGGCUCGACUUAUCCUGGGGCUGGAGCAGGUCCCAAGGGUUUGGCUGUUCGCCAAUUAAAAAGUCACGUGAGCUGGGUUUAGACCGUCGUGAGACAGGUUGGUCUCCUAUCUACUGCAGGCGUCGAUUCUUGAGGAGAGUUGUCCCUAGUACGAGAGGACCGGGAUGAACGAACCUCUGGUCUAUCAGCUGUCACGCCAGUGGCAUUGCUGAGUAGCUAUGUUCGGAAUGGAUAACCGCUGAAAGCAUCUAAGCGGGAAGCCAACUCCAAGAUUAGGAAUCAUUAAGUCCCCUAAGAGAUGAUUAGGUUGAUAGGCACUAAGUGGAAGUACAGUAAUGUAUGGAGCUGAGGUGUACUAAUAGGACGUAAUUCCUGUAAGG